AUAGAAGACAGCUCGCGAGCGUAUCUCAUAUUCUAUGUAUAUCUAUGGUCGAAACGUCUGGUAGCAUCUCUGGCUGCUGUUGAUCUUGUUUUUGGAGUAAAACACGCUGAAUUAGUGAGGAUGACUCCUGCUCCUGUCAUCUCUAAGCUCCUCACACAUCUUUACCUGCACAUGAGGAAAAUCACUCCUGUAGAAUGCAGAUGUUCAGAGGGAGAUGAUGCCACAUCUGGUCCAGCCGAUGGAAGGUCUUGAAGUUCUCUGACUGGCCUCGACUGAAGAUGAUCCUCUCACUGGAUUUAAGGUUCAGAUGCUC
ensembl:lncRNA